AGUAACGCGUGAGCAAUCUGCCUUUAAGAGGGGGAUAACAGUCGGAAACGGCUGCUAAUACCGCAUAAAGCAUCAAAUUCGCAUGUUUUUGAUGCCAAAGGAGCAAUCCGCUUUUAGAUGAGCUCGCGUCUGAUUAGCUGGUUGGCGGGGUAACGGCCCACCAAGGCGACGAUCAGUAGCCGGACUGAGAGGUUGAACGGCCACAUUGGGACUGAGACACGGCCCAG
rnacentral:rRNA from 1 species